ensembl:lncRNA
AUGACUGGGAACGCUUUGAAAAUAUCCCAGAAGAUGAUGAGAUGUGAGCUCUCAAGCUGUUGUUUUGUGGUUUUAGUGAGGAAGAAAAAGUUUGUUUCCCUGAAGUUUUUCCACAUUUUGCCAGUGACCUUUGCUUUAAAUGUCUGGCUGUCCCUGGAAGCGUCACGCUGCUUGGACGUGCUUGCAGGGGGACGGGGGACGGGACAAUAAGGCCUCAUUGAGCACCACAGGGGUGCACCCAGUUUUCAAAGUCUGACAGUUCCUGUUCAGUCGGUCAGAGAGAUGGAAAAAGAUCAAACCGCCGGCGCAGAGGCCACAGGGCCCGUCGGAAACUUUAGGUCAGGAAAAGCUAAAAGCAGAGUUUAAUGGUUCGGAAUGAAUGCUGUGUGAAGCCUGACAGGCAUGAAUUGUAGGAACUAAUCAAUGCGCGGAACAUUUGUGUUCAAAUCUGGCCUGCUCUCUACUUCCUUAAAAAAAAAAAAAGGUUGUCAGAGAGGAUCUAAAUGUCUUCUUCGCCGCUCGAACAGCUGGUUGCAAAAUCAUGAAGGCAGUGACAUUUCUCGACACGUGAAUACCUGAAAUGCCCUCGAGACACGCAAACCUGCAGCUCCUGCGUGUUUCAUCAGCUCCUAAUGGUUUAGAACCAAAAGUUUACGCCUGACGUCAGCUGAUCUGCAGCUCUCGGCCACUGGAAUGUGGCGGCUAUUCGCCGCCGGUCCGUCUGUGGAUCUCCCACUGCUUUGAGAAAAGAGGGGUUCCAUCAGAACGAAGCGAAUACACAAACGCAAGCUGCCAGGUCAACCCACAGUCCUGCCAGCAGCUCCACAUUCCUGACCUCUGAGUGCUUAUGUAAACCAGAGGUCAACACUGUGACCUGGAUGCUCGGUGCUAAAAACUUCCCUCCAAUAGUUUUGUUUUGAGAAGUAACACAUUCACAUAAAAGCUGCAUUUUAUGAGGAAUAGAAUGACUUAAAAAGCAUAAAAAAUACCAAACGUUACGAUUCCAGGCGCAUAAUUGUCAGUCUUUGAUGCUUUUAUUUGUCAAAUAUGAUGAAAAAUUGCAUUUUUUUAAACUGGCUGGAAUAAAGAAUAUAAAAUGUUUAUGCUAUUGCUUCUGAUUGAUUGUGUAAAAAAACAAACAAUGACAAUCACUUGUAGAUCAUAUUUAUACAGGAGCCUCCAGGCUGGACUCCAAAUCUGUCUUUUGUAAGAGAAUAAAUAAGUUUAUAAAUCUGGUAAUUCUAAAAGCUCACAAUAAAUGUAAAGACCUGAAGGAGCUGCUGAGAAUUAUAUUUUAUGUUUAAAAAAGAAAAAGAGAAAUAUCUGAGGCCAUGAAUAAUAAAAUAAUCUGAUAACAAAAAGCUGCUUUAUUUAAGUAAUAACGAAACGUCUGGUUUUAAAUAACCAAAAUACCAUAGACUUCUAUUAAGAAAUAAACAGCUGUUAUUCAGAAUAGCCAGUCUUGCCCUUGCUAACGUUUUUUAAUCCUUAUUUUUUCUAUUAUAUUUUUUCUUUAGUUCAAGUUAUUCAAGUUAAAAACUGACCAAUCAGAUGCCUCAAUAAAAGUAGGUUGUUAUGUCCAACAUUUGAAACAUUAGAUUGGCGUCAUUCGUUUGGAAAUCCAACAAGGUCAUUUCUGAUUGGUUAGAAUGGUUGCCAUAGAAAAGUAGACUUUCUAUGGCAGCCACCUGUUGCCGUCUGGCUCCAACAUGGUGGCGUUCGCAUCGUGAAAAAAUGGCGACUGAAUUGACCUCACUGGGUUGGAGCUGGAAGUAAACCAUUUGCUCUGGGUGCCGUCACACUCACUCAGUCCAGUUCUCAUAAGAUGCGUUUCCAUUGACCAUGAAAUUGCACAAAUUAGAUUUGCGAGAAUAAAUUAGCCUUAUGGAAACACGAGAAUUUAAACAAAAACUUGCAUUCAUUUAAAAAAUGUUUUUUGUGCUUUGGAGGACGUGGUUUUUGGUUGUCGUAUCGAAACAUAUUUAGCAAAACUGCAAUGGAAAC